UAUAGUAAGGAUCCAUUGUUUAGGGAAACCGCAUCGAACCAAAAACUGGCUUCCAUUUCAAUUACUGCAUUUUUACGCAUUCCACAAGAUAGUGAUCGAGCUAAAGGGACCUUCGUUUGCCUUGCUUCCUCCAUUAUUCGUAUUCGCUCCCUCUUCCUUUCAUUUUUGCGACUCUACAGAUUUGGCGUAGGGAGCCAAUUUGAUUUCCAGCAUUUUGAUUCCGCUGAGAUGCUUCUUCCGGGGCUAUUUUCUGCAUCAUCCAUAUUUCUGUUGUUUUUUCCUUCGAGUAAAGAAUUGUUUGAAGAGCCAUGCAAAAGGAUAAUAGUACCAGUACCCCGUCAACUCCUCGUAUUCGACAUCGUAGACGCUCAAAUGAGGUUAUUCCAGAGGAUAGCAAAGCAAAUGGAGGCCAUUUACUUGUUGAUGAUCAUAAUAAAUACAGGUCAAUGUGGAUCCGUGCAUAUUCAUCUCUUUGGAUGAUUGGGGGCUUCAUAUUUAUUAUCUACAUGGGGCAUCUUUAUAUUAUGGCUAUGGUGGUGGUUAUCCAAAUUUUUAUGGCUAGAGAGUUGUUCAAUCUACUCAGGAAAGCUCAUGAAGAUAAACAUCUCCCAGGAUUUAGGCUAUUAAACUGGCACUUUUUCUUCACUGCAAUGUUAUUUGUAUAUGGUCGCCUUUUCAGUCAACGGCUGGUCAAUACUAUAACGGCAGAUAGAUUUUUAGAUCGAUUUGUGAACAGCCUUUUCAAGUAUCACAUGGCUAUCUGUUAUUUCUUGUACAUUGCAGGUUUUAUGUGGUUCAUUCUUACAUUAAAGAAGAAGAUGUACAAGUAUAUGUUUGGCCAGUAUGCAUGGACGCACAUGAUUCUAAUUGUCGUGUUUGCGCAGUCUUCCUUCACCGUUGCCAAUAUUUUUGAAGGAAUUAUCUGGUUUCUUCUUCCAGCAACUCUUAUAGCCAUCAAUGACAUUGCUGCUUAUGUCUUCGGCUUCUUUUUUGGAAGAACCCCUUUAAUCAAGUUAUCUCCAAAGAAAACUUGGGAGGGAUUCAUCGGAGCAUCUGUUACAACUAUCAUCUCUGCAUUUGUGUGCUUUCCGGCGUCAUCUCCGGUACUGGACACGAGGGGUGAACUCGCCGGCGAAAUCUGUGGGUACCGAGCCUUGUUGCCGUCGUCUUCAGCUGCCGGAAGGGGUCACCGUCGCCGAUCUAGUACUGUUUGGUUGCAGGAUCUCAAGACGGGGAACAAGAUUGGUACGGGGCAUGAAGCUGGUGGUCUGUAUUACCUUGAUGUUCAACAGUCACCCACUCGAGCCCUUACAACCCCCUCAUCAUCUGCUUUUGAAUGGCACUGUCGCCUGGGUCAUCCCUCACUUUCUCUUUUGAAGUGUCAAAUUAGGAACUUGGGAAGUGUGUCUCCCUUUUCUUGUGAAGCGUGUCAACUUAAUAAACACCAUCGUGUGUCUUUUGUUUCUCGUAUUGAUAAACGAGCAUCGAGUCCUUUUGAAUUGGUUCACUCUGAUAUAUGGGAACCAAUCAACAUUGAAUUAAACAAGUUUCAAUAUUUUGUUACAUUUGUUGAUGACUACUCUUGUGUGACAUGGUUGUUUUUGAUGAAGGCCAGAUCUGAACUUCUUUCCAUAUUUCAAGUGUUCUGGAAACAAAUUAAAACUCAAUUUAACAAAAAGGUUCAAAUUUUGUGUUCUGAUAAUGCUAGAGAAUAUCUAUCUAGUGCCUUUGCUACUUACCUAAGUGACAAAGGAAUUGUUCAUCAAACAUCAUGUUCAUAUACACCCCAACAGAAUGGGGUGGCUGAACGCAAAAACCGGCAUUUGUUAGAUGUAACCCGAGCACUAUUGCUACAUAUGCAUGUUCCUAAACGGUUUUGGAGUGAUGGUGUUCUUACUGCUUGUCAUCUUAUUAAUCGUAUGCCUUCAUCAGUUCUUAAUGGUUCAUCUCCCUUCUCCGUCUUGUUUCCAUCAUCUUCACAUUUUUCUCUUCUGCCAAAAAUCUUUGGAUGUGUUUGCUUUGUUCAUAACCUUGGUCCAGGCUUUGAUAAACUUGACCCCCGUUCUACCAAGUCUCUUUGUUGGUUAUUCCCGGACUCAGACAGGAUAUCGCUGCUAUAGUCCUGCUCUUAGACGCUAUUUCACGAGUGCUGAUGUUACCUUCUUUGAGUCCAUACCCUAUUUUUCAAAUACAUCUUCGAGUGUUGAGUGUAAUCCUCUACCACUACUUACUCUUACAUUAUCUCCCUCACAAUCACCCAACCUUACCCAACCUUCCCCAGUUCCUUUACAGGUUUACUCACGUCGCUUGCGGCCGCCAGCUCCCAUGCCCCAACCAGUCGUGCCUCCAUCUUCAGAUUUUGAGUUGUCCAGUAUUUCGGACUCUCUACCUAUUGCUCUUUGCAAAGGUAAUCGUUCUUGUGUUACUCAGCAUCCUAUUAGUCAAUUUGUUUCAUAUCAUGCCUUAUCCCCUUUAUUCUCAUGUUUUAUAUCUCAAGUUUCAAAACUCUCUAUUCCUAAGACCCUUCAGGAUGCAUUAUCUGAUUCGGGAUGGAGGACAGCUACGGAAAAUGAAAUGGAUGCUCUUCAUCAUAAUGUCACAUGGGAUCUUGUUCCACUACCACCUAGUAAACAACUUGUUGGCUGUAAAUGGGUAUACACUAUUAAAUUUCAUCAUAAUGGUUCUGUAGAACGUCUGAAAGCCCGCUUGGUUGCAAAGGGCUACACUCAAACCUAUGGCAUUGACUACGAAGAGACAUUCUCUCCAGUUGCCAAAAUCUCUUCUGUUCGAGUGCUAAUCUCUCUUGCUGCUAAUUGAGACUGACCCUUAUUUCAGCUGGAUGUAAAAAAUGCAUUCCUCCAUGGCGACUUGCAUGAGGAAGUUUAUAUGGAGCAACCACCUGGGUUUGUUGCUCAGGGGGAGUAUCGAGGUACUGUAUGCAGAUUAAAAAAGGCAUUAUACGGUUUUAAACAAUCUCCUCGAGCAUGGUUUGGAAGGUUCUCUAAUGCUGUAUUGACAUUUAGUCUUCACAAAUGCCAAACAGAUCACUCGGUAUUUCACUUGCAUAGUGAUGUAGGUCACAUUUUGUUAGUUGUAUACGUGGAUGAUAUUGUAAUUAUUGGAAGUGACUCUGCUGGAAUUAUUAGACUAAAGCAAUUUUUACAUGAUCAGUUUCAGACGAAAGACUUGGGCAAGCUUAGAUAUUUCCUUGGAAUUGAAGUCAGUAGAUCUAAAGAGGGCAUCAACCUAUUUCAGAGGAAAUAUGUAUGUGAUCUUUUAGAAGAAACCGGCAUGUUGGGUGCACGACCUAUUGACACCCCUAUGGAUCCCAAUCGUAAAUUCUUGAAAGAAGAAGGGGAGUUGUUUAGAGAUCCAGGUAUGUAUCAAAUACUUGUUGGGAAAUUGAACUAUCUUACCAUCACUAGACCAGACAUCUCUUAUGCAGUGAGUGUACUGAGUCAAUUUUUACAAACACCUAGGAUCUCACAUUGGGAUGAUGUAACUCAUAUUCUUCGUUAUCUCAAGCGAGCACCUGGUCUUGGAAUACUAUAUCAACCAAAUGAACAUCUUAGAGUUGAAGCAUUUUCAGAUGCUGAUUGGGCAGGAUCUCCUUCAGAUAGAAGAUCUACUACGGGAUAUUGUACCUUUGUAGGAGGUAACUUGGUUACAUGGAAGAGUAAGAAACAAACAGUAGUAGAUCGUUCUAGUGCGGAAGCUGAAUACAGGGCAGUGGCACAUACUACUAGUGAGUUGACAUGGUUACAACACUUUCUUCAAGAGAUUGGGUUUCCAACUCCUAUCCCCUCUCCAGCUAUUUUGUGAUAAUCAAGUUGCACUGCAUAUUGCCUCUAACCCUGUGUUUCAUGAGAGGACUAAACAUAUAGAGAUUGAUUGUCACUUCAUUCGAGAUAAGAUACUAAGUAGUGACAUUGCUACACCUUUUGUGAAGUCCGCAGAUCAACUCGCAGAUGUGUUUACUAAAUCCUUGUGUUGGAGUCGAUUAAAACCUAUUUGUUUCAAGUUGGGUUUAUAUGAUGUAUAUGCCCUAGCUUGAGGGGGAGUGUUAGAAUAUAUUGUCUAUAAUGUGUUUGUAUAAGGGUAUAUGGGUCUCUUGUAUUUAGGGUAUAUAUAUACACUUGUGUGUAAACUGUGAAUAAAAUAACAGAGUACUAUUUCAUCAAAUCACAUCUACAACUAGCAUUUUGUGCAAUAGUAUUACUUACCACUAAUAAUGUUUUGGAAAUGGUUUGACAUUUUUUUUUAUAAGUAUGGAAGGGAAAAAUGGUUUGGUUUGACAUUGUUUAUUAGUUUGAUUACAUCUUGACUAACUGAGAUUGUUCAAUUGUUGCCUCACUCCAACCUAUUCAUCUCGCCGUCCCAGUCCAGUUGCCACUUUUGCUAGUAGCUACAUGCCAUGAUUGUGAUCUCCUAUUACACACUGGUAUCAUGCUCUUUGUCAACUCUCCGACGUAAACUUGACCCUCUGCAUCUCCUGUGACUCCACCAUCUCAGGUUUUUCCUUCAUCAGGUUGCUCGCCACACCAUACAAAACACUGAUGACAUUCCCAAGUUCCCUAUUUUUCUGCCGAGAAACCCGAGAAAAGCUAAGAAAAUGUAUGACCUAAUGGUACAGUUCUAGGUAAUAAAUAUUAAUAGACAUUUUAAGAAAAAUUACAUGAAUCUAUGCGGUGUCAGAUAAUAGAAAGGUGUAAAUUGCUUUUGACUAGAAACCUGUGAAAAGGGUAAGAAAAUCAUCAUUUUUUUUCAAUGUGUUCUCUAUUAUGAAACUUACCUCAGUUUACCAAGUCAGGAAUGGUGUGGUUUAUAUUUUUCCAGAGCAUUCCAGAUGCUAUGGAGUCGAACUUUCUCACCUUUCUACAUUAACAAAGCAAACAACCAGACGAUGAAGAGUUUCUGUUUGCUCGAGAAAAUCCAUAAAUAAAAUAAUAUUUGCUGCUUGUUAUUUUCUCAGGAACCAAGUGAAGAAAAAAUAAACAUUGAAAAAAGUGUUGGGAGCACCAGUAAAGGGAUUGAGACCUGUAAAAUAGAGAGAAGAUAAAUGCUAGAAAUGAGGAAAGAUCUAUACCUAGUGAAAUUUAGAAGACUCAUAGUGCACUUGUGAAUUUUGAUGAGUUUGGGGAGAGAGACCGGCGGAAGCAAGAAACAUGUUAAAUUAAUAAUUAAUAAAAUUAAUAACAAGAAAAUCACAAUCUUGUUUAGAAACCCAAGAGAUGCUGACGCAUUGACUUCUUAUUGGAGGGUGUAAAACCCAUAAGCAAAGUAAAAUUCACAAGCAAAACUUCUCAGGAUUAAUCUCAGUUGCAUGUCAACCCAUAUUCCGAUGUAAGACCAAAGUUUUGAUUCAGUUCCAAGACAUGACUUCAUGGCUUUUUAUAGCUAUGAGUCCCCACUAGUUCUUUCAGCAUAAUGCAAUCCCCUUUAUGGUGCUUAUAAGCUUCCUCAUAGCUUUUCAUCUAUUCAAUACUGAACCUCCACUUUCAGCGAACCUAUAUUUAUUGAAGUAGUAAACUCUAGUUAGGUACUUCUCAUGUAUACUCCCUAUGUACGUGAGCUUUGCCUAUUAUUAUGAAUAAAAUUUCUUGAUUACUGAUCAAAAAAAAAAAAAAACUAUUUAUCAAAGUAUGGCCUGAAUUCUUACAGUGGCAAUUACAAAUAUCAUCUUCUUAUUUUGUAAUUUCAUACUAUACCUUGGAGUUCAAUGUUCCUGACUUUGAAGAUUUUGAUCCAGCACUCUGGUGGUGGUGGUUAUGAUCUUUGGUCAAACCUAUGCUUGCAAAGGUCAUGGGUCGUUUUCCGUGGCUAACAUGUCCGAGGAAGGAUUUAUCAACUGGUUGGCUUCACUGUGAUCCUGGUCC